rfam:Ornithorhynchus anatinus chromosome 7, whole genome shotgun sequence.
GGAAGUGUGGCCUAGUGGAAAGAGCCCAGGCCUGGGAGUCAGAAGGACCUGGGUUCUAAUCCCAGCUCUGCCU